CAAUAGCGUAUAUUAAAGUUGUUGCAGUUAAAAAGCUCGUAGUUGGACCUUGGACCUGGACAGGCGGUCCGCCUCACGGCGUGUACUGUCUUGCUGGGUCUUUCCCCUUGGUGAUCUGUUGUUUCGGCAGCAGGGAACCAGGACUUUUACUUUGAAAAAAUUAGAGUGUUCAAAGCAGGCUCGACGCCGGAAUAUAUUAGCAUGGAAUAAUAAAAUAGGACGUGCGGUUCUAUUUUGUUGGUUUUUGGAAUCGCCGUAAUGAUUAAUAGGGACAGUCGGGGGCAUUAGUACUCACAUGCUAGAGGUGAAAUUCUUGGAUUUUGUGAAGACUAACUUCUGCGAAAGCAUUUGCCAAGGAUGUUUUCAUUAA
rnacentral:rRNA from 1 species